rnacentral:rRNA from 1 species
GACGGAGGUGCCGAGCGUUAGGCGGAAUCACUGGGCUUAAAGCGUGUGUAGGCGGACCGUUAAGUACCUUGUGAAAUCCCACGGCUCAACCGUGGAACGGCUGGGUAGACUGGCGGUCUUGAGCGGCCUAGGGGCAGAUGGAACAGACGGUGGAGCGGUGAAAUGCGUAGAUAUCGUCUGGAACGCCAAAGGUGAAGACAGUCUGCUGGGGGCCUGCUGACGCUGAGACACGAAAGCCAGGGGAGCGAACGGG